ACGCAAACGCAAACGCAAACGCAAACGCACGCAUUAGUCACACCCCCUCUUCCAUAAAAAAAUGUAUCAUGUUAAAAAAAAAAUGCUUACGUUACGAUUUAUAAUUUUUAUAUUUUGUUUAAUGUCGCAAUUAAAAAAAACUGUUUGUACAAAUUACCAAAACGAUUACAUUUCGGAUUUAUUACAACUGGGUAUUUUUGACAAUAAUUUAAAAACAAUAAACAAAGAUAUACUGAACGAAAUUAAUGACACACAUUAUAUAUUUUCUUCUUGUAAAACUUGUAUAAAACUUAUACAACUAAUAAUUAAAAUUAUCAAAAAAAAAAAGAAACUUAUAUAGAUAUAGCUAUAGAAGAUACAUUAGAACUAAAUUUAUGUGAUGUAGAUUUAUGGAAAAAAUAUUUUAAUUUUAAUGAUUUAAUGUAUAACGAGUUUGUAUUAAAACAUUGUACUCAUACUUAUAAUUUAAUUCAAUACGACAUAGAAAAUUUUAUUUAUAAACUAUAUAAUAAUGAAGAAAAAUUUUAUAAAAAAGUAUGUGGAAAAAUUAACUACAUAUGUCAAAGAGCUAUAGAUGAUGAAAAAAAAAAUAAUUCUUAUAAUAAUGACACAAAAGUUAAAUUAAUGUAUGAAUUAUAUUCUGCACAUUUAACUGACAAGGAAGGAUUUACCUUAACAAGUCAAAAAGUACCAUAUAAAAAAAUUAGCUCUGCUAACAAUAAUGGCUACAAGUUCAUAAAUACAAAAUACGUCGUAAUUCAAUCCAAAAUAAAAACAAUGCAUCAAAAUAAACUGCAUGAUGAUUUUGAAAAUAAUUAUUAUAGAUUAAUUCAAAUUGAUAAACUAGAAGAUAAAACUCGAGAGCUAUUUUCAAAAAUGACAGUACAAGACACAUUUAUAUCUUCUUUGUACAACGAUUUUUAUAGCGACGAAACAGUGCCUAUAGAUUCUAUUUUGGAAAUAAAAAUAAAAAUAUAUCAAGCAUUAGAUAAUGUUGAAGAUGUUGAAAAAGUAUAUAAAUAUAAUUUAAUUAAUUACAUUGACAAUUUUAUUUUAUAUAAACCUUCAUCCACAUAGAUAGUUAAAGCGAUGCAAAUUGAUUAUAUAAUUUAACAGCAAAAUAGAAUGAAUGUGUAUUUAUAUACAUAAUAAAAUAAAGUGAUAUUUUGUUGUUGUUCUAGAU
rnacentral:lncRNA from 1 species